UUUGAGAGGAAAAUAUUACUUCACUUUGGAAAGGUGAGAUGUAAUUAUCUGUUGUUUUUAGUUAUUAUAUGUAGUGCUUUGGUGUUUGAACAUCAACUUAAUUUUAUAAAUUUUUGAAUAAUUUGGACGUCACUGGCUCAAGCUGUAGAGACAUCUGCCUCUUGUAGAAAUGCAAGUUUUAUACUUGGAACUGCUACACUUGAGUUGAGGAUCUUCAUAAAUAGCCUCCUAUCUCCCACAAGGUAGGGGUAGUGUUUUAGAGGAGAAAAUUGCUUCUCUCUGAGAAGGCUACUCCUCAACAAGUAAAGCUUGUAGAGUCUUCAACAAAAGGACUCUGUGCAUGGAAGAAAGUGUAUAUGCAGUCUUUGAUGAAUCAGUAAGCUAAAGAUUCCGCUGAAGGUGAAGAUUCUGACAUGAAAGAAUUCAUUCUCAUUCAAAGGGAUGGUACAACUAAAAUUGAAGUUCAAGAAUAAGAUGAUACAAUUGUACAUGACGAAGGUGACGAUGAAUCAGGUCCUCGAUUGCUGAAUCCAAAUUUAGGAGAGGAACAUCAAGAAGAACCUACUUAAAAUCCUUAAGGAUCUAGUCCCAGCAGACCUCAGUUAAGAAGAAUAAAUUGGAAGCAUAAAUCUUCUCACCCCCUUGAAAAUCUGACCUCUCUCUUUGAAUUUAGAAGGCAAACAAGAGCUCAAGCUAGGAAUUUUAUGGCUUUCUCAACCUUUUUAUCAUAGGUUCAGCCCAAGAAUGUAAAGGAAGUUGAUCUGAGGUGAUUCUAUACACUUUUGUAUCAUUAUUCUAGCUUAUUUUGCCUUACUUUGAGAGCAAUUCGUGUGCUUAACAUGUUCAUAUUGAUAUAAAUAAGCAUUUAAGUGUCCAAGUGUGCA